AGUGAACGCUGGCGGUAGGCCUAACACAUGCAAGUCGAACGGCAGCACAGUAAGAGCUUGCUCUUCCGGGUGGCGAGUGGCGGACGGGUGAGGAAUACACCGGAAUCUACUUUUUCGUGGGGGAUAACGUAGGGAAACUUACGCUAAUACCGCAUACGACCUACGGGUGAAAGCAGGGGAUCUUCGGACCUUGCGCGAUUGAAUGAGCCGAUGUCGGAUUAGCUAGUUGGCGGGGUAAAGGCCCACCAAGGCGACGAUCCGUAGCUGGUCUGAGAGGAUGAUCAGCCACACUGGAACUGAGACACGGUCCAGACUCCUACGGGAGGCAGCAGUGGGGAAUAUUGGACAAUGGGCGCAAGCCUGAUCCAGCCAUACCGCGUGGGUGAAGAAGGCCUUCGGGUUGUAAAGCCCUUUUGUUGGGAAAGAAAAGCAGCAGGUUAAUACCCCGCUGUUCUGACGGUACCCAAAGAAUAAGCACCGGCUAACUUCGUG
rnacentral:rRNA from 1 species